GACGAACGCUGGCGGCGUGCCUAAUACAUGCAAGUAGAACGCUGAAGAGAGGAGCUUGCUCUUCUUGGAUGAGUUGCGAACGGGUGAGUAACGCGUAGGUAGCCUGCCUUGUAGCGGGGGAUAACUAUUGGAAACGAUAGCUAAUACCGCAUAACAAUGGAUGACACAUGUCAUUUAUUUGAAAGGGGCAAUUGCUCCACUACAAGAUGGACCUGCGUUGUAUUAGCUAGUAGGUGAGGUAACGGCUCACCUAGGCGACGAUACAUAGCCGACCUGAGAGGGUGAUCGGCCACACUGGGACUGAGACACGGCCCAGACUCCUACGGGAGGCAGCAGUAGGGAAUCUUCGGCAAUGGGGGCAACCCUGACCGAGCAACGCCGCGUGAGUGAAGAAGGUUUUCGGAUCGUAAAGCUCUGUUGUAAGUCAAGAACGAGUGUGAGAGUGGAAAGUUCACACUGUGACGGUAGCUUACCAGAAAGGGACGGCUAACUACGUGCCAGCAGCCGCGGUAAUACGUAGGUCCCGAGCGUUGUCCGGAUUUAUUGGGCGUAAAGCGAGCGCAGGCGGUUUGAUAAGUCUGAAGUUAAAGGCUGUGGCUCAACCAUAGUUCGCUUUGGAAACUGUCAAACUUGAGUGCAGAAGGGGAGAGUGGAAUUCCAUGUGUAGCGGUGAAAUGCGUAGAUAUAUGGAGGAACACCGGUGGCGAAAGCGGCUCUCUGGUCUGUAACUGACGCUGAGGCUCGAAAGCGUGGGGAGCGAACAGG
rnacentral:rRNA from 1 species